rnacentral:rRNA from 1 species
AUUGAACGCUGGCGGCAUGCUUUACACAUGCAAGUCGAACGGUAACAGGUCUUCGGAUGCUGACGAGUGGCGAACGGGUGAGUAAUGCAUCGGAACGUGCCCAGUCGUGGGGGAUAACGCAGCGAAAGCUGUGCUAAUACCGCAUACGAUCUAUGGAUGAAAGCGGGGGAUCGCAAGACCUCGCGCUAUUGGAGCGGCCGAUAUCAGAUUAGCUAGUUGGUGGGGUAAAGGCCUACCAAGGCUACGAUCUGUAGUUGGUCUGAGAGGACGACCAGCCACACUGGGACUGAGACACGGCCCAGACUCCUACGGGAGGCAGCAGUGGGGAAUUUUGGACAAUGGGCGCAAGCCUGAUCCAGCAAUGCCGCGUGCAGGAAGAAGGCCUUCGGGUUGUAAACUGCUUUUGUCAGGGAAGAAAUCUUCUGGGCUAAUACCCCGGGAGGAUGACGGUACCUGAAGAAUAAGCACCGGCUAACUACGUG